UGAAUUUUUUCACUUGACCUCAGUUUUGUUAAAAAUACAGAUUUAUACAGGCUGGGGUAAAUGAAUGGGUAGAAAAAUCUGACUCUAUUCACUUAUCUCCCAGCCUACAAAA
rnacentral:snoRNA from 1 species